AGCAGCCGCGGUAAUUCCAGCUCCAAUAGCGUAUAUUAAAGUUGUUGCAGUUAAAAAGCUCGUAGUUGAAUUUCGGGGUUCUACCGUUGGUCGGGCUUUGUCUGUACUGGCGUGUAGAAUUUCUACCUUCUGGGGAACCAUUAUGUUAUUAAUUUAGCGUGGUGGGAAACCAGGACCUUUACCUUGAAAAAAUUAGAGUGUUCAAAGCAGGCUUAUGUCUGAAUACAUUAGCAUGGAAUAAUAGAAUAGGACGGUGGUCCUGUUUUGUUGGUUUCUGAAUCACCGUAAUGAUUAAUAGGGAUAGUUGGGGGCAUUAGUAUUCAAUUGUCAGAGGUGAAAUUCUUGGAUUUAUUGAAGACUAACUUCUGCGAAAGCAUUUGCCAAGGAUGUUUUCAUUAAUCAAGAACGAAAGUUAGGGGAUCGAAGACGAUCAGAUACCGUCGUAGUCUUAACCAUAAACUAUGCCGACUAGGGAUCGGACGAUGUUAACUUUUCUUGACUCG
rnacentral:rRNA from 1 species